rnacentral:rRNA from 1 species
CCUACGGGUGGCAGCAGUGGGGAAUAUUGCGCAAUGGGCGAAAGCCUGACGCAGCGACGCCGCGUGAGGGAUGAAGGUCUUCGGAUCGUAAACCUCUGUCAGCAGGGAAGAACGGUCACUGUGCUAAUCAGCAGUGAAUUGACGGUACCUGCAAAGGAAGCACCGGCUAACUCCGUCCCAGCAGCCGCGGUAAUACGGAGGAUGCUAGCGUUAAUCGGAAUUACUGGGCGUAAAGCGAUCGUAGGCGGUAUGUCAAGUCAAGGGUGAAAUCCCCGGGCUCAACGUGGGAACUGCCUUUGAGACUGGUAAACUAGAGUGUGUGAGAGGUUAGUGGAAUUCCAGGUGUAGGAGUGAAAUCCGUAGAUAUCUGGAGGAACAUCAGUGGCGAAGGCGACUAUCUGGCACAUAACUGACGCUGAGGAGCGAAAGCGUGGGUAGCAAACAGGAUUAGAUACCCGUGUAGUC